UACGGAGGGUGCAAGCGUUGUCCGGAAUCACUGGGCGUAAAGGGCGCGUAGGCGGCUAUGUAAGUCACUUGUGAAAUCCCGGGGCUCAACUCCGGGGCCGCAGGUGAGACUGUGUGGCUAGAGCAUGGUAGAGGCGAGUGGAAUUCCUGGUGUAGCGGUGGAAUGCGCAGAUAUCAGGAGGAACACCGAUAGCGAAGGCAGCUCGCUGGGACGGUACUGACGCUGAGGUGCGAAAGCGUGGGGAGCGAACAGG
rnacentral:rRNA from 1 species